rnacentral:rRNA from 1 species
UCCUACGGGGGGCAGCAGUGGGGAAUAUUGCACAAUGGGGGGAACCCUGAUGCAGCGACGCCGCGUGAGUGAAGAAGUAAUUCGUUAUGUAAAGCUCUAUCAGCAGGGAAGAAAAUGACGGUACCUGAGUAAGAAGCCCCGGCUAACUACGUGCCAGCAGCCGCGGUAAUACGUAGGGGGCAAGCGUUAUCCGGAUUUACUGGGUGUAAAGGGAGCGUAGACGGCCGUGCAAGUCUGGAGUGAAAGGCGGGG